GGAGGGAUGCGUGAGCGGUUGAAACGGGUGGUCUUGAAAACCACUGUACCCGGAAGGGUACCGGGGGUUCGAAUCCCUCUCCCUCCGCCA
rnacentral:tRNA from 1 species